GACGAACGCUGGCGGCGUGCCUAAUACAUGCAAGUCGAACGAACCGCGACUAGGUGCUUGCACUUGGUCAAGGUGAGUGGCGAACGGGUGAGUAACACGUGGGUAACCUACCUCAUAGUGGGGGAUAACAGUCGGAAACGACUGCUAAUACCGCAUAGGACAUGGGAUCACAUGAUUCUGUGAGGAAAGGUGGCGCAAGCUAUCGCUAAGAGAUGGACCCGCGGUGCAUUAGCUAGUUGGUAGGGUAACGGCCUACCAAGGCGAUGAUGCAUAGCCGACCUGAGGGGGUGAUCGGCCACAAUGGGACUGAGACACGGCCCAAACUCCUACGGGAGGCAGCAGUAGGGAAUCUUCCGCAAUGGACGCAAGUCUGACGGAGCAACGGCGGGUGAGUGAAGAAGGUCUUCGGAUCGGUAAGCUCUGUUGUUAGGGAAGAACAGCGCAUAGAGUAACUGUUAUGCGUGUGACGGUAUCUAAACAGAAAGCCACGGCUAACUACGUG
rnacentral:rRNA from 1 species